GCCAACCUUAGCGCGGUGAAUGUUCACGACCCCAACACACGGAAUCGCAAUCAAAUGUGGGGAGAAUCACUUCAACAUGGUGCUUAGAUGCAAGAUGGCUGCCGUGACGUCAUGCUGAAUGCUGAGCUCGAUGAUGCUUCUGAGGAGUCCGUAUCUUCAAGCAGAAGAAGCAGUAGAGUGCUGAAAAAUGAUCUUCUUCUACACGAGGCGGUCAUCAAAAAUGACCCGGAUGCGGUUAAAAAAGUACUCAAGGAGCACGUGGACAUAAACUCUAGGAAUAAUUAUGGAAGAGCCCCCAUCCACUGGGCCGCCUCACGAGGGGCCACAGACAUCAUGGAGCUUCUGAUCAACGCUAAAUGCGACAUCGAGGCCAGAGAUCGGUACGGUAUGAGACCGCUACUAAUGGCGGCGUGGCACGGACACACAGAAGCAGUUCAACUACUCAUCAACUGUGGAGCCAGUGUGGUAGCUACCAACAAGAAGCAGUAUACUCUGCUGAUGUGCGCUGCUCGCAACAACCGAUUGUCCGUGGUGAACUUCCUACUGGACUCUCUGGAGCACAUAGAUGUGGACCUGGUAGAUCAGGAGCGGCAGACGGCACUGCACCACGCCGCCCAGGCCGGCCACAGGGAGGUGGUCUCAAGGAUAGUGCAAGCUGGUGCCAACACCAAACUACUUAAUAAGCAAGGUCGGACAGCUCUGCACAUGGCUUGUGAGAAGGGUCACUUGGACGUCGUGGAGUUCCUGCUCAGACACGAGGCUCAGAUUGAGGCGAGAGACGAGGAGGGAAACACACCAUUACAUCUUGCGGUGGAAAACAAACACCUGAUGGUGACUCAACUUCUGCUGGAGUACGGCACACCACCCGACGUCGACAACCAAAAAGGUAUGACUCCGCUGCAUGUUGCUAGCAGUCUUGGCUGUCGCGGUAUAAUUGACACCCUACUACAGUAUGGCAGCGAUGUCGACAAACAGAGCAAGAACGGCAACACUCCUCUUCAUCAAGCCAGCGAAGCCAACGAUUGUGAAACCGUGGAGCUGCUCAUUGCAAAGGGAGCAGAUCUCAAUGCACUCAAUGCGAGGCUGCAAUCUCCUAUCCAUAUAGCAGCAGAGCAUGGUUUCACAGAUAUAUGCAAAGUUCUACUAGCAGCUGGAGCAAACAUUGAGCAGAGGGAACAGGGUGGGAGAACACCUCUGUAUAUAGCUGCUAGAGGGAGCUUCACUGCUAUUGUGGACAUGAUCAUCAGAACGGCUCGGCUAGACUAUCCGGAGCCUUGCGGGGUUGCAGGAGGAGAGUGCGGAGGCAGGACACCAGAGUGCAGCUCGGAGGAAGUGGAGGCUACAGAAGGAAGGGCGCGGGAGUGUAGGGGAGACGAACGACAGACUCAAACAGGUGUUGUGGAAGUUGGCGCACAAACAGCUGGACGCUGCGGACUGGAAGAGGCUUGCGCAUCACUGGGCGUUCACGGAAGAGCAGAUCAAGGCGAUAGAGCACCAGUACACAGGUACGUUCGGGCCAAACAGUCACAAGGAUCACGCGUACAGGAUGUUAGUGAUAUGGAGCGAGGGGUUGAACCAGGAGGUUAAUCCUGUCAAAAGCCUGUGUGAAGGCCUUUGUGCGAUAAACAAGAAGAGUCUAGCAGAGUCCAUCAAGAAAAAGAUGAACGAAGACAUUGACCUGCCCCAGAAGGACGGGCCAAAAUGUUGUACGAGAUGUUCGGUGUUAUAGUUUUUGCGGCCCUGGCACCAGACUGUCCCAGCAGUACCUCGCCUGAAAAUUCCUUUCGACAUUUCUUGCUAUUCUAUUCGAUGUCCUCUCUCGACGUAAGACUACAGCUGCAUUUAUCAUUGUUAUCAGAUAUGUCACUAUUUGUUUUUAACUCUUUAAUGGGAACAAGAUGUUUCCAAAAAGUCUUCCUCAUGAUUCUGAAGAUAAUGUAAGGAGUAAAUGUUUUGAUGUAUUAAGGCAUUUUUCAGUUUUGCAUCAGUGUUAACAAAAUUUAAAUGUAAAUUGGGAUAUGUAUUUUCAUAAAUGUUUACACAGCCAUAAUUCAGCCGAAAAAAUAUUUAGUCAAAAAUUAUUUAGUUAGGAUGUAAAGCUCACAAUCAAUGCCUUUUGUUUAGUUUCAAUACAAUUCUCGAAACUAUUUUUGUUAUAAUAUUUUGUAUAAGAUACGAUUUGAAUCAUUUUUGGCUAUUAGUCAUACACAACUUAUACGUACAACCUAGAUUGAACAAUCAAUUAUUGCUAUUUUAAAAUACAACUUGGGUCUUCCAUCAAGGAUUUUUUAACUAUAAAUGACCGGUUUAAAUUACGUUUGUAUCUAACAAUCAAUCAGUUACUUAGCACCGACUGAUGCCACGACCAAAACGUAGAAAACAUAGAGAUUUUAAGGAAUAAUAGUUGAUUACUUUAGAAAUAUAAAUCUAUAAGACUGUAAUAAUAUUUAUAGUACUAAAGUGUUUAGCUAGUCGCACUAAUAAUAGCAUUUUGUGACAUAUCUAUAGAGAAAUUUAUUAUUUAUAACAUAUAAUUUAUAAUACGAUUAGCUUUAAAAGUCUAGCCUUAAUAGGUAUUUUAAAUACAUUAAAGUAAAGUCAACAAGACAAAUAUCUAAAACCCUCAAGUUUAAAAUCAAGACUUGCAUUGAAAUAUAUUUUUAAUUCAUUUGGUUUGUUAAAUAUAAUUUCUAAAAGUAUAAGUGUUCUUCAAGCAAAGCUUGAAGUUGUUCAAACAUUUUGUAAACAAAAACAAGUUUCAACACUCAACAACCACCAAUUCGUUUACUCCAUUUCAAAGUUUAAACAGUACAUCACCCACGAAACUAGUAUGUAAAUUAGUUCUGUAUUUAAAUGUAAUUUAAACUUGUGUGUUAAGAAACAAUUUGAAAUAAUAACUGGUCAAACUGUAUUAAUAUGUAUUAAUUGCAUUGGGUAAUAUUUUGCAAUGAAGAUUAGUUCCCUUAGUUAAAUAUUUGGUUUAUAUAAACAAACUAUUAUCUAAUAACAAUACAGAUUUUGAUAUUGAGGUGAAACAACUUUAUUUGUAAUAAUUAUUAAUUUGUUCAGAAACGUAAACCUCACCAAGUAUGAUUUCUCUUCUGAUUUAAAUUUUACAAUUUUAAAUAGAUUUGGGAAAAUAUUGAGUUGUGAAUUGUAAAACUUAAAUGAUAUUUUUCCCUCCAGUCAUUUACAAUUAUACAGUAGUUCUAAGCUGGUAAGAAAAAUUCAGCCUAACGGUAUAUUGAGUUUAGCACAAUUGCUGAUUUUCAAAGGCUUACAAGGUAUUAAAUGAAAUUGGGUUUAGUAACAAUAUUGAACAAAACUGUAACAAAAAUCUGUUUUUAUUGUUUACAGCCAUAUAAAAUAUUGUUUGUUCAAAAUUACACAGAUAAAAUCGAAACAUUAUUUUUGUACCUCACGUAGAUGCAAACACUUUUAAAGAAUCCACUCAUGCAAACACUCAUGCUUGGUGAUUUUCAUUUUCUAGCUUUGCUCCAAUUACAUUUGCUAAAUGUAUGGCAGUUUGUUGAAGCUUCAAAUAUUUAAGCUAUUCCCGUGUAUCUUGAUCUUCUGUAUUACAUUAAUGAAACAUUAGAUCUCUAAGAUCUUAUUUAGUUUAGAAUGAACAGCAUAAUUAUUCUAGAAAAAAGAACAUUGUUCAGUGGGCAUUUUCCCUAGUUAUGUAUGUGUUUGGCCUUUACUCCAUUGAUCGCGUUUGCAAAAUAGUUUUUUAUUGUUUAGAAAACUAUAAAAGCCACUGACAAGAGUGCGAACUUGUACAAUUAUACAUAAGAUUUUGCCCAACACAUUCAUUACUUAACUAAUAUAGGCUACUAGUAGAACGCUUUUACAAAUUUGAAAACAUAUCAGCUCUAGGAUUGUAUAGGACUAUGAAUAUUUCAUAAAGUAUUUGUUUGAUUUCCAUUCUUCAACAUUUUGUUUUCAAUUUCAUUUAGUCGAACAAAUGUCUUUAGCACUUUGGUAGGAUGACGUAAAUAAUUUCAAUCAGCAGCUUACUGCUUCCCCCAGACAGCAUUUGAAGCCUAGUUUCAUGGAAUUUGUAUACUAUUUAUAACAAAUUGCUCAGUAGAGUUUAGAUAUUUUUAGUAGUUUCUGAUAUCAAUGUACAAAUCGAUGUUUUCAGCUUGGUUUUUUAUAGCUGUGCAUGGUUAUUGCUUACAGGUGCGCCUUACACUAAGUCCUGAUCCAGCAUAUUAGAUGUAAGCUUAGACUUAGCUGUCGGUAAUCUAGU